rnacentral:rRNA from 1 species
AGAGUUUGAUCCUGGCUCAGGAUGAACGCUGGCGGCGUGCCUAAUACAUGCAAGUCGAGCGAACGGACGAGAAGCUUGCUUCUCUGAUGUUAGCGGCGGACGGGUGAGUAACACGUGGAUAACCUACCUAUAAGACUGGGAUAACUUCGGGAAACCGGAGCUAAUACCGGAUAAUAUUUUUGAACCGCAUGGUUCAAAAGUGAAAGACGGUCUUGCUGUCAUUUAUAGAAUGGAUCCGCGCUGCAUUAGCUAGUUGGUAAGGUAACGGCUUACCAAGGCAACGAUGCAUAGCCGACCUGAGAGGGUGAUCGGCCACACUGGAACUGAGACACGGUCCAGACUCCUACGGGAGGCAGCAGUAGGGAAUCUUCCGCAAUGGGCGAAAGCCUGACGGAGCAACGCCGCGUGAGUGAUGAAGGUCUUCGGAUCGUAAAACUCUGUUAUUAGGGAAGAACAUAUGUGUAAGUAACUGUGCACAUCUUGACGGUACCUAAUCAGAAAGCCACGGCUAACUACGUGCCAGCAGCCGCGGUAAUACGUAGGUGGCAAGCGUUAUCCGGAAUUAUUGGGCGUAAAGCGCGCGUAGGCGGUUUUUUAAGUCUGAUGUGAAAGCCCACGGCUCAACCGUGGAGGGUCAUUGGAAACUGGAAAACUUGAGUGCAGAAGAGGAAAGUGGAAUUCCAUGUGUAGCGGUGAAAUGCGCAGAGAUAUGGAGGAACACCAGUGGCGAAGGCGACUUUCUGGUCUGUAACUGACGCUGAUGUGCGAAAGCGUGGGGAUCAAACAGGAUUAGAUACCCUGGUAGUCCACGCCGUAAACG